rnacentral:rRNA from 1 species
CGCAUCUGUGCAUGCAGCAUAUCAAUAAGCGGAGGAAAAGAAACUAACAAGGAUUCCCCUAGUAACGGCGAGUGAAGCGGGAAGAGCUCAAAUUUGAAAUCUUAAAGGGUUUCCCUUUACGAAUUGUAGUUUAAGGAAGUGUUUUCUGUUGAGGUUUUGGUAAAAGUUCUUUGGAAUAGGACAUCAUAGAGGGUGAGAAUCCCGUAUUUGACCUUUACUUUCAACUUUGUGAUACACUUUCAAAGAGUCGGAUUGUUUGGGAAUGCAGUCCAAAAUGGGUGGUAAAUUUCAUCUAAAGCUAAAUAUUGGCGAGAGACCGAUUAGCGAACAAGUACCGUGAGGGAAAGAUGAAAAGAACUUUGAAAAGAGAGUUAAACAGUACGUGAAAUUGUCAAAAGGGAAGCGUUUGACACCAGUGUUGUUUUUCUGAAAAUCAAUUAAAGAACUGUUUAUGCUAAGUUGUUUAGACUUUAUCAGCUAACUGUUUAGUUUUGAGCUUUUCUUUAAUGCACUUUUCAGUUAACAAGUCAACAUCAAUUUCUUUUGCUGUAAAAAGGCUUGAGGAAGGUGGCUUGAGAUUCGUCUUAAGUGUUUAUAGCCUCUUGCCUAUGCAGUCGGAGAGAUUGAGGUCUGCAGCGUAGAUCCUUCGGGGCUAAAUGCAUUUGUGCUAAGUUAUAGCAUUUUAUAGACAACUUGUUGACUAUGAUUUGUCUUGUAGCUUACUCGCUUAUGUUAUUUUACCUACGCUUAGGAUGUUGAGUCGUAGAGCACGCAG